AUACCUUUCUCGGCCUUUUGACUAAGAUCAAGUGUAGUAUCUGUUUUUAUCAAUUUAAUAUCUGAUAUUUGGGUCAUGUGCCUAACAAUAUUAAAUUUAUUUUUUGUGGGGAGGUUCCAUCACAAUGGCUUGCCAUUGGGGCCCUUGUGUGUUGCCUAGGCGUUGCAUCAUUGCCUAGGCCUGGUGCACCCCAA
rfam:Triticum aestivum genome assembly, contig: Triticum_aestivum_CS42_TGACv1_scaffold_485699_6AS